ACGGCUCAGUAACACGUGGACAACCUACCCUUGGGUCUGGCAUAAUCCUGGGAAACUGGGUAUAAUUCCGGAUAGGUCACAGAUGCUGGAAUGCACUGUGGCCGAAAGCUCCGGCGCCCAAGGAUGGGUCUGCGGCCUAUCAGGGUUGUAGUGGGUGUAACGGACCUACUAGCCUACGACGGGUACGGGUUGUGAGAGCAAGAGCCCGGAGAUGGAUUCUGAGACACGAAUCCAGGCCCUACGGGGUGCAGCAGGCGCGAAAACUUUACAAUGCGGGAAACCGUGAUAAGGGAAUCUCGAGUGCCAGCAUAUAAUGUUGGCUGUCCAGAUGCCUAAAAAGCAUCUGUUAGCAAGGGCCGGGCAAGACCGGUGCCAGCCGCCGCGGUAACACCGGCGGCCCGAGCGGUAACCGCUUUUAUUGGGUCUAAAGGGUCUGUAGCCGGCCAAGUAAGUCCCUUGGGAAAUCUGGCAGCUUAACUGUCAGGCUGCUAGGGGAUACUGCUAGGCUUGGGACCGGGAGAGGUGAGAGGUACCUUGGGGGUAGGGGUGAAAUCUUGUGAUCCUCGGGGGACCACCAGUGGCGAAGGCGUCUCACCAGAACGGGUCCGACGGUAAGGGACGAAAGCUAGGGGCACGAACCGGAUUAGAUACCCGGGUAGUCCUAGCCGUAAACGAUGCUCGCUAGGUGUCAGUCACGGUGCGACCGUGAUUGGUGCCGUAGGGAAGCCGUGAAGCGAGCCACCUGGGAAGUAUGGCCGCAAGGCUGAAACUUAAAGGAAUUGGCGGGGGAGCAC
rnacentral:rRNA from 1 species